UACCAGCGCCCCGAGUGGUCGGGACGUUUAUUGGGCCUAAAGCAUCCGUAGCCGGUUCUACAAGUCUUCCGUUAAAUCCAACUGCUUAACAGGUGGGCUGCGGAAGAUACUAUAGAGCUAGGAGGCGGGAGAGGCAAGCGGUACUCAGUGGGUAGGGGUAAAAUCCGUUGAUCCAUUGAAGACCACCAGUGGCGAAGGCGGCUUGCCAGAAUGCGCUCGACGGUGAGGGAUGAAAGCUGGGGGAGCAAACCGG
rnacentral:rRNA from 1 species